CAAUAGCGUAUAUUAAAGUUGUUGCGGUAAAAAAGCUCGUAGUUGGAUUUCUACCGAAGAUAGCCGGUCGGGUCUUCGACCUUGUAUCUGGUUUUGUCUUUGGUAUCCUCAUAGGGAACGUUUCUGCGCUUUAUUGCGUGGUGCGGUAUCUAUGACUUUUACUUUGAGGAAAUUAGAGUGUUCACGGCAGGCAAUCGCCCUGAAUACAUUAGCAUGGAAUAAUAAUAUAGGAUUUCGGUUCUAUUUUGUUGGUUUCUAGAGCUGAGAUAAUGAUUAAUAGGGACACUUGGGGGCAUUCGUAUUAUCACGUCAGAGGUGGAAUUCUUGGAUUGUGUUACGACGAACUACUGCGAAAGCAUUUGCCAAGGAUGUUUUCAUUGA
rnacentral:rRNA from 1 species